GAUGAACGCUGGCGGCGUGCCUAAUACAUGCAAGUCGAGCGAACAGACGAGGAGCUUGCUCCUCUGACGUUAGCGGCGGACGGGUGAGUAACACGUGGAUAACCUACCUAUAAGACUGGGAUAACUUCGGGAAACCGGAGCUAAUACCGGAUAAUAUAUUGAACCGCAUGGUUCAAUAGUUAAAGACGGUUUUGCUGUCACUUAUAGAUGGAUUCGCGCCGCAUUAGCUAGUUGGUAAGGUAACGGCUUACCAAGGCAACGAUGCGUAGCCGACCUGAGAGGGUGAUCGGCCACACUGGAACUGAGACACGGUCCAGACUCCUACGGGAGGCAGCAGUAGGGAAUAUUCCGCAAUGGGCGAAAGCCUGACGGAGCAACGCCGCGUGAGUGAUGAAGGUCUUCGGAUCGUAAAACUCUGUUAUUAGGGAAGAACAAAUGUGUAAGUAACUAUGCACGUCUUGACGGUACCUAAUCAGAAAGCCACGGCUAACUACGUG
rnacentral:rRNA from 1 species